rnacentral:rRNA from 1 species
UACGAAGGGGGUUAGCGUUGCUCGGAAUCACUGGGCGUAAAGCGCACGUAGGCGGCUUUCUAAGUCAGGGGUGAAAUCCUGGAGCUCAACUCCAGAACUGCCUUUGAUACUGGAGAGCUUGAGUUCGGGAGAGGUGAGUGGAACUGCGAGUGUAGAGGUGAAAUUCGUAGAUAUUCGCAAGAACACCAGUGGCGAAGGCGGCUCACUGGCCCGAUACUGACGCUGAGGUGCGAAAGCGUGGGGAGCAAACAGG